UCUUCAACCAAGAGCCGCACCUCUCUCAUCUCCUUUCCUCUUCUAAACAACAAACAUGUCCACAGCCAUGGCAGACCCAUUUUCGUGCAAUACGUCGUCUUCUUUCCUCUCCUCUCCUCUCCCCCAUUUCUAGCUAAAAAACAGAACCUCUUUAGCUGUUGAACAGCCUUGUCCACACCAUUUCCGCACAAAAUCGUCCCCACAUCUGCUUUACUUGCUUAUUCUGUCGUUGACAGAAAAGGCCUUCCCAUUUUUCAUGUCAAAUACAACGGAUCCUCAAAGACCAGAGGAAUUCGAUCCACUUCGGGAAAAAAGUCUGAAGCAAACACGUGAAAGGGUCUCAACGUUCGGAUUAUCACGGGUUUUGACUCGAUUUUUUUGAAUUUUGAUUUUCAAAUUCCCGCUCGCUCGAAACCCUAAUCUUUUCCCAUAAAUACGUCUCUAAGUUCUCAGCCGAAAGGGGGAUUGAACGAUUAUUGGUGAUACACCAGUAUUUUCUCUCACAAAAGUCUUGAGUUUUCCUUUUUUUAAAAUCUGGUCUUGAACAUUUUAAAUCAGAAAAUACUUUUGUUGAAUUAUGAAAUUUGUGACGAAAGGUUAAGUCCUCGACGAUUCGAUUAACUUUCGUCGCUGCUCGGCAAAGAAUUUUAACUACGACAGAGGCACUUUAAAUUUUGACUCGAGUUCGAAUCUAUGAGUAGAUUCGAGACCUCCGCACCCAGUUCACUGCACCCGAAGAAGGAGAAAAAAUAUGGAAGGCCUAUGUGCCCAAGUGAGGUUAUUUUGUCAACUUGACUGAAAAAGAAUGGCAAUUAUGUGAAUGAAGAAGGGAAGAUUAUAGCUGUAAGUUCCAAACACUUGUCCAGUUUCAAAUUUCAAUUACAUUGUUGAUUUACUAGUGAUAAUUUUCUCAGUAAUGUGAGUGAAUGUUUUUUAGAUGUUGAGUAAUUUUCAAUUUUUUAAGUGUUGCUUUAGCUACACACACAUAGAUUCCUAAGAUUAAAGAGUAUGAUUAUAGGUUCUCUGUUCUGUAUAAUUAGACUAACCUCUAUUUAAUUUCUCCACAUUGAUUUGUAUGAUUGUUAUCAAAUUCAGCUACAGUAUUUUGGUCUUUCAAAGUUGGUGCGAAAAUUGUGAUUGAGACAUAGACAACUUUUUUUGGUGGAUGGAUGCGACCAUUUCCAAAUUGAUUAUUUGUUUUGCUUUCUCCUUGUUUGUAGUUGGAGUUCUAGUUUGUUUACAGUUGGAAAUGCUUUCAAAUAAUCGAGUAAUAAUAAUCGUAGUCAUUAGCACUCAAGGGUGUGGCCAUGUUGUCAGUGUGUAUAAAUUCUACGUAUCAUUUUCAGUUACGAGUCCAACUGAAAAUGAUUUGCUAUUAUGUUGUCAUUUCCCCUCGUCUUCUUCCAAAGUCUUUUGAGGUUAAAAGUUAAAACAAAUGCACAGUUUGUCCUAUUAAAUAAGACUAACCACCUGAUAAUGAUUCAGGAUUCUAAAAUGUAAGUCUUACAAACUAUGAACCUUUUUCACAGUUCCUCUUCCAAAUACUAGCUCCUCAAGGAAAUGGACCAGUUGCUUCAACACUGACAAUAGUUGAUAAGAAAACAGAAUUCUCAUUAUUUCCAGUUAUCAGGAAAAUUACUUGGUUAAAAUACCUAUACUCAUGGCAUGAAAAAUUAUAGAUGGUUUAGAUAUUGAAGUCCUCAAGUCUUAAAAUGAAUUCCUGGAGAAAUGAAUGUAACAUUGGUGCAGUCUUCCAACUAUACUCAGCGGGUUUUGCAUUCACUGAUUUAGAGAUAGAGAUUUACUCUUAGGGAAACUGCAGUUGAUAUUUUCUACAUCCACUUUUAUCAGUAGUUGUCUAUAAAUUAAGGAAUGCAACAUUGGUGCACUCUUCUAAUGUAUGCUCUAGUAAAAGUAAAUAUCAGAUGUUGAGACAAAGCUUAGAGGUUCUCAUAUCUGCUCGACAUGUUGCAGAAUUAGAUGUUCAAAAAUAACUAUUGAUCGUAGGGAAACUUUCAAGCUCAAUGGUGGGACCUCUCUUAGUCUCUUCAGUGUUGAAAUGCACCAGGCAUAUGCUGUUUUGGCUGCCUCACUUUCCUAAAUUCUUUAGGAAUUAAUGAUCAGAGGCAUACUAAAAAAAAUAUUUAGAGAACAAGUGAAGAAAUUUACACCCUGUGUGUAUCUCCAGGAAAUAGAACUAUUGUCCUGCAGAAACUAUAUUGAAUAGUUGUGCUAGCUUGGACGGCUGUGUUAUUAAAUCCAAAAUACCUAUGAAUUGUAUGCAUAUGCUUAGUUUUCCAGACAAAGGUGAGAUUAUGGUCACCCGGAUUGCACAAUGAGACUCCUUCUCGUGUCUCUGUAUCAUUUUAUACUUUUCAAUGUAAUUGUAAUUUAGUGAUAAUGUUUCUUUUCUCCUGGGAUGUUAGCAGCGUUGGUAUGAGAAUAUCUCAUUUCUUUUAUUUUACUUGUACAAUAAAAUAUUGGAGCAUCUAUCUCAAGAUCAAGAACAAGCUGCCACUUUAGGUGUUCCACUGAAAAUAUUGGCUCAUCCUAAUGAUGCCAUUGGAAAAGUAGAUAGAGUUGAACAUUCUGGUCGUGUGUGUGGUUUAGGGGGUAAUGUUUGCCCCUCGACUGCUUUUGGAAUGCCUAGACAUUCAAUUAGUCAUGCGAAUCUUGGUGGUUCUAGUAAUAUGUCUCAUCAACGUGUUGAAGACCCAGAGAAGCAUGUAAAAACCUUGGAAGAAAAGCUGACUGGAUAUGAAGAGACAAAGGAAACACUUGAGGAUACCAAGGAACAACUUGUGGAGACUAAGGAACCGCUUGCGCAAAAUGAGAAUCACUUGGCAACUCUUCAUAGGUUUUUACAAGCUAGAUUUGAUAGUGAGUUGCCCAGUUUCAACUUAGAUUCUUCUUAGCCUUUUGUCAAUAGUAUAUUUUUGUACCACUAAAUAUGUGGUGUACCUCUAACUUCAUGCAUUUGCAUUACACUAGCAAUUGUGGUAUCUUUUUUGUAUGUUCAAGGUUUGAAACUUACGUUUUGAUAUAUAUGAUAAGUAGAACAUUGAAACUUU